GCAUGGAGAUGACAUGAAAUAUGCUACGGCAUAGGUAGAGGAUGGACUUAUGGCGCAUUAGCUAGUUGGAGGGGUAACGGCCCACCAAGGCGACGAUGCGUAGCCGACCUGAGAGGGUGACCGGCCACACUGGGACUGAGACACGGCCCAGACUCCUACGGGAGGCAGCAGUAGGGAAUUUUCGGCAAUGGGGGAAACCCUGACCGAGCAACGCCGCGUGAAGGAAGAAGUAAUUCGUUAUGUAAACUUCUGUCAUAGAGGAAGAACGGUGCGUGUAGGGAAUGACAUGCAAGUGACGGUACUCUAUAAGAAAGCCACGGCUAACUACGUGCCAGCAGCCGCGGUAAUACGUAGGUGGCGAGCGUUAUCCGGAAUUAUUGGGCGUAAAGAGGGAGCAGGCGGCACUAAGGGUCUGUGGUGAAAGAUCGAAGCUUAACUUCGGUAAGCCAUGGAAACCGUAGAGCUAGAGUGUGUGAGAGGAUCGUGGAAUUCCAUGUGUAGCGGUGAAAUGCGUAGAUAUAUGGAGGAACACCAGUGGCGAAGGCGACGAUCUGGCGCAUAACUGACGCUCAGUCCCGAAAGCGUGGGGAGCAAAUAGGAUUAGAUACCCUAGUAGUCCACGCCGUAAACGAUGAGUACUAAGUGUUGGGAGUCAAAUCUCAGUGCUG
rnacentral:rRNA from 1 species